rnacentral:rRNA from 1 species
GACGUAGGGGGCCAGCGUUGCUCGGAAUUACUGGGCGUAAAGGGUCCGUAGGCGGUGCGGUAAGUCGGGAGUGAAAUCUCUGGGCUUAACUCAGAGGCUGCUUCCGAAACUACCGUGCUAGAGUGCGAGAGAGGCAAGUGGAAUUGCGGGUGUAGCGGUGAAAUGCGUAGAUAUCUGCAGGAACACCCGUGGCGAAGGCGGCUGGCUGGAUCGCAACUGACGCUGAGGAACGAAAGCUAGGGGAGCAAACAGG